CGGCUUGAGAAGUCCAAUGCUAGAUAUUUCUGGGUGUUCAUUGGUGUCCUCCCCUGUAUUCAUUGGUUUGCUCGCCUCCCUCUCUAACUCCGUCUGCCCGUCUCUCACCUCCCAGCAUCCUCAUCCACGAGCGGCCUCUGCAGCCGGCUGAGAACCGGCCGCGCUCGCAAUCACAACUCCACGAGCACGAGCGUUCCCCCAGCAGCGAGAUUCUGACGCAUGUCCCUUAAGUUUUUCCCUCGAGACAUUCCAGAUUGACCUAAAGCUCCUCAUCUCCAUUUUCUAAGAUGCGAUGUGGGAGGUUGGCGCUCGCGGCAUGGAGCACUCUGCGGUUACCCGGCCCUUCCAGCAAGAUGAGGAAGGUGCACACGCGGAUGUCUGCUCGAUCCAUCCAUCAAUCGCCUAGGGAUUGGAUACCACGAGCGGACUACUUUGUGGGCAACGCUGGUGUUGACGGGACAGUCCGUGUUGAGGACUGUUGUCCGGUACAACGAAGGAGGGCACGCGCCGCCCGUUCCGCAGCCAGGUCGUCGAGCCGACAGCCGGCCACGAAGACGGGGAGGUAUCUGUCCGCGGACGUCUUACUGCUGGGAGCUGGAAGAACUGGUCGAUUUAUUUUUCUGAGAAAGACCGCUUGGGGAAAUUUCCCCAAGGAGAUAAGCAAUUUAUCCCUAUCUAUCUCUCUCUUCAUUAUGUUUCCCAAGGAGAUAAGCAAUUUAUCCCUAUCUAUCUCUCUCUUCAUUAUGUUUUUUUUUACCGUCAUGUUCUGUGUAGGAGUAGCACAAGUGCCUUGCAGCUGUUUGUGUUUAUGCCUAAAUGGAGAAAGGGGGAGCUGUUUGUCAUAAUCGGCGCAAGUGGCUUGGCUAGAUUAUGACUUGCGAGGGAGAGGCUCCACAGCAGUGUCACGCCCAACAGUAAGACACUCCAUAGCUGCUGCCGCAUCUCAAUUUAGAUGAUGUAGGUACCUAAUGUAGACUCACAGUGCCGGAUACUAUGUGGUUUACCUGACAUGGUUACAACAGAGUUUCUGGCACGGGUUGUUCGUUGCAGAGUAGACUGUUGUUCUGACCAGUGUUGAUAUAGAUGAUUUGCCUGAUGGUGUAAGUUGGCCAUUUUUGCUCAGACAUUUAGAGUUUUGAAGGUUUACCCUUAUACUGUUUUGAUGUGCUUUUUUUUACUAGCUUUACGUUUGUUCAAAAUACUGGGCCAAUGAUUUGUGUACUUCCUAUUCAGGAGCCCAAACGUGGGGUAUUGGUGAGAUGCUUAACCUCAGACAUCCAAGGUGAUUUGGAUAUUGUACAGAUGAUUUGCACAGAUGAUUUCAAUGAUGCGGCGUUGAAGCACGUUCCGGCUGAAAAGGAUUGGGAUCCAUGGCGGUUCGUCAGUGUUGCUACAGUUUACAGAUUAUCAUAUAGGAUGUUCUUUUGCGCCAUUCCUCCAUCUGAUAUGAGAUGUCUUCUGGUUUAGUUGGCUCUCAGUAGUUGGGUACCUUAAAUGAUGCACGUUUAUGUUUUGACGCCAUUGCAUGCAUCUCCUGGCUCUGUGGUGUGUGUGUCUCCUCUUUUUACUCAUUCCAGGUGCAGCGCUUAGUAUUUUAACUUUUUCAGCAUGCUAUCCAUGCAACUGCUAUUGCAUGCUGCUGGUUCAAUCUGUUGUCACUCAUCUGCUCUUUUUCUCUUAUCUAAUAUGAUGUUUUAUUAUUUUUUGUUGGGCUUGAUUGAGAAUAUCCCUUGGAAUAUUUUGGUAAUUUGUGAUCUGGUUGCUAAUAUUAACCCUGGAUUGGUUGUUGCACAUCUGUAAAAUAUUUUAAUGAGGUUGGCCUACUAUGAUUUUGAUUAAGUGGUAAUUUAGAAUUCUAUUGAUAUAAUCAGAUGCAAAAAACUGCAGAGCCAAUUAGUUCCUUAUGUUUCAAGAAUCAUAUAUAAUGCAAGAAAAGUAAAUACUUUGUUUACUUUAAAAAGUCUUUAAAUUUUCAAAGUGGAAAAGUUAUAAAUUUGUUGUCUGUUUUCAGCGAGCAGUGAAACUAUUUUAUAGCACAUUGCUAAGGGAUGCUUACGUUGUCUCUUAUCAUUUUAUUCACUCCAUGUUACAAAUUUCUACAGGGAAUUACAAUGGCACAUGCAUUUCUUUAUUUGUGUAUGUCCCAUCUUUUAGAGAUAAUAAAAUAUGCUAAAACGCUAAUACCUGUCUGGGAAACAUUGUGGUUUAGGACGGUAUUAUGAUGCCAUACAUGAAAAAAGGUGAGGUCAAUGGACAAUGGUAGACCAAAAGGGCCUGAUUAUGAAAGACAGGACCUUGCAUAAUUAUUGAUGAUCAGAUGAUUUUCAAGGACUUCCAAGUUACCAUACAUUAAUCUAACUACAUAUUAUGCAAGGUAUCCUUAGAUUUGUGCCCCUUUUGAUAGUAUUGUGCCUUUUAUAUUCUUGUGUGUACAUUGAGAAAGUUUAUCGGAUUUUAACGGAUAUGAUAUAUAUGCUAAAAGGAUAAAAAAUAUCGAUAAUGCCAAAAAACGCUUAUUCCAUUUUGUUGUCCUGCAGUAUUGACAUGGUAAUCAAGAAGGCUAUGCAUGCUACUGUUUUUUUGUUUAUUCUGAGUGCUAAUUUUCAGGUAUCCUAUUCAAUUCAUGUUUAAGUUUUAUUUUUUAAUCAAUAUAUACAGUUUGCACAUUCGAAUAAUUACACAAACAACCUUAUAUUUCCAAUUGUUCUUUUUCAGAGAGUGAGUUUAAAUGUUGAAUGCACAAUGGAUUUGGUAACAAUGAUGAUUAAAAAAUCAUUCAAAAUCAGCUAAGAACUUGAUAAAAAGAGAUGUGAAGGGGUUAAAUGCAUGACUCCUUCUAAUUAGUUUUCUAGGUGGCUUACAGAUUUUUAGAGUUCUGUUUACACUUUUAACAGUUUGCCCAUAUCAUUGCUCUAUUCCAUUUUGCCUCUCAGAUGUGGAUGCUGGAAGGUGAGAGAUCUUGCUGGGCAAGUGGCCGUUUCUGUUCUUCGGUUGUUUGAUCUCUAUGGAUGGAGAUUUAUGUCUCGCUUCCAUCAGCCCAGCCGGAACCUUCGGUUCCUCUUCUACCUAUUUGUUUUUCUGGUUUUCAGCAUUGUACUUUCGUAUUCUUUUGCCUCGGCAUCAAUAUUGGUUCCCUGCCGAGUAGAAACACGUAUCGGCGUCAAUUGGUCUCCACGGGUGCACUAUGUAUAAUCUUCUGCACUAAGUAUGCUAGAGCUGCAGCAUUUUCUCUA